rnacentral:rRNA from 1 species
UACGUAGGUGGCAAGCGUUAUCCGGAAUUAUUGGGCGUAAAGCGCGCGUAGGCGGUUUUUUAAGUCUGAUGUGAAAGCCCACGGCUCAACCGUGGAGGGUCAUUGGAAACUGGAAAACUUGAGUGCAGAAGAGGAAAGUGGAAUUCCAUGUGUAGCGGUGAAAUGCGCAGAGAUAUGGAGGAACACCAGUGGCGAAGGCGACUUUCUGGUCUGUAACUGACGCUGAUGUGCGAAAGCGUGGGGACCAAACAGGAUUAGAUACCCUGGUAGUCAAGGGCG